CUUGCUCCUAGAGGCAUUGCAGGUGUGGCUGCUGUGUCCCAUGUGUGUCAGUAGGUGGCAGAGGAGAGGCUCUGACUAUGAUCAGUAGUAGCCUAAAAGUCCCUGAAAAGAGUGAGCCUAAGACA
ensembl:snoRNA LOC120103325 small nucleolar RNA SNORA17